rnacentral:antisense_RNA from 2 species
CUCUACGGCGGGCCUUGGCGGGGAUACCUUCGGGUAUGCCGGAAAUGGACAGUAAGCCGGUCUGUCAACCUUGUCUUGUGCCCGCCACCCUC